rnacentral:rRNA from 1 species
UACGUAGGCUGCAAGCGUUAAUCGGAAUUACUGGGCGUAAAGCGUGCGCAGGCGGUUGUGCAAGACAGAUGUGAAAUCCCCGGGCUUAACCUGGGAACUGCAUUUGUGACUGCACGGCUAGAGUGUGUCAGAGGGGGGUAGAAUUCCACGUGUAGCAGUGAAAUGCGUAGAUAUGUGGAGGAAUACCGAUGGCGAAGGCAGCCCCCUGGGAUAACACUGACGCUCAUGCACGAAAGCGUGGGGAGCAAACAGG